rnacentral:rRNA from 1 species
AACGAACGCUGGCGGCAGGCUUAACACAUGCAAGUCGAACGAAGGCUUCGGCCUUAGUGGCGCACGGGUGAGUAACACGUGGGAAUAUGCCUUUCGGUGGGGAAUAACGUUGGGAAACUGACGCUAAUACCGCAUACGCCCUUCGGGGGAAAGAUUUAUCGCCGAAAGAUUAGCCCGCGUCCGAUUAGCUAGUUGGUGGGGUAACGGCCUACCAAGGCGACGAUCGGUAGCUGGUCUGAGAGGAUGAUCAGCCACACUGGGACUGAGACACGGCCCAGACUCCUACGGGAGGCAGCAGUGGGGAAUAUUUGACAAUGGGCGCAAGCCUGAUCCAGCCAUGCCGCGUGAGUGAUGAAGGCCUUCGGGUUGUAAAGCUCUUUCGACGGGGACGAUGAUGACGGUACCCGUAGAAGAAGCCCCGGCUAACUUCGUGCCAGCAGCCGCCGCCG